CAGCACCACGGUAAUACGGAGGGUGCAAGCGUUAAUCGGAAUUACUGGGCGUAAAGCGCACGCAGGCGGUCUGACAAGUCAGAUGUGAAAUCCCCGGGCUUAACCUGGGAACUGCAUUUGAAACUGUCAGGCUGGAGUCUUGUAGAGGGGGGUGGAAUUCCAGGUGUAGCGGUGAAAUGCGUAGAGAUCUGGAGGAAUACCGGUGGCGAAGGCGGCCCCCUGGACAAAGACUGACGCUCAGGUGCGAAAGCGUGGGGAGCAAACAGGAUUAGAUACCCGGGUAGUCCCUGUCUCUUAUACA
rnacentral:rRNA from 1 species